rnacentral:rRNA from 1 species
UACGAAGGGGGCUAGCGUUGCUCGGAAUCACUGGGCGUAAAGGGUGCGUAGGCGGCUUCUUAAGUCUGGUGUGAAAGCCCAGGGCUCAGCUCUGGAAGUGCACUAGAAACUGGGAAGCUUGAGUACCGGAGGGGAGAGUGGAAUUCCUGGUGUAGCGGUGAAAUGCGUAGAUAUCAGGAGGAAUACCGGUGGCGAAAGCGACUCUCUGGACGGUUACUGACGCUGAGGCACGAAAGCGUGGGGAGCAAACAGG